UUGGGCUGUGGGGCUUGGUGAGUCAUGAGCACACUGUGAAACUUAAGAUCUGCUGCAAGGUGGUGCGAGUAGCUGGCUAGGAAGGUCUGGCUCAUCCUCAGGGUAUUUUUUUCAUUGCCGGAGGGGCUGCUGCUGCAUUCCUACUACUGAUAAUUCUCCUGAUCAUCAUUAUCAGCACCGUUGUUUACCACAGAAAAAAGAAGAGGAGAAGGAUCAUGACCAUGUCAAAGACUUUUUACUCUACUCAGAACAGGCCCAUGAACAGUUAUGGAAGAUCCCAUUUUGUUAGCACACCAAACUCAGAAAGAGAAGGAGCUUCCACAUCCAGGCAGACAGAGGAUAUUUAUGUCAACUACAGAAACUUCUCACGCUAACCCAGGAUAAGAAUAUGCGCUGCUGCCUUAUGUCUGAAUUAACUAAUCAAAGUACUGCACAAUCAUAGGCUUCUCUUGAAUUAUCUGUUUAUACAAGCUUGACCUAUUCAUAAGUCUCCCAUCAAC